UUUUCUUGGCAUUCCCACCACGUGUUGCUAGAUCGAGGGAGAAAGAAUUAUAAAAACUUCAAAUAAAAAUGAUUUCCACGAAAGAAAUAAGUAAAACCGAAAUUCAACUAGAUGGCACUUACCAUGUCAAGCUCUGAAAGAUAGUCAUUAAACAAAGAAAUUUGGAAAUAUGUUUCUCGGAAACCUUGACAUUUUCUUUGAAAUCCCACAGAGGUGUCUUAGGUUGAGACUUCUGGGGACCAUAAUAGAAUCUUCCUAAGAAGACUGUUUUCUUGAUCUAACUCAAAAGAACUAUGGGAAAAUGGUUUAGAUAUUUGUGGUAACAAACCAAACGUUUUUAAACAUUCUUAAUUUUAUGGCAAGAAUAAAAAUGAAAGAAAGUGUGAUCUCAACUACCGACGAAUACUUCAAUAUUUGGACAUCUGAUGUCUAUGACUGAUUUAUCAUGAUAGUAGAACUGAAAUUAUUUGUCAAAAUUGCUAUUGUUUACACUUAUACCUAUUUGAAUUAU
rnacentral:sRNA from 1 species